rnacentral:misc_RNA from 1 species
UUUUUUUUUUUUUUUAUUCUUCAUUUAUAUCUAAGAUUGUUUAGUAAAUUUUUAUAUUUUUAGUAGGGUUGUUUACAAAUUUCUAUUUUGUUUCUCUACAUAAGUUUUAGCCUCCAUAUUUAGUUUUUUUUAUUGAAUUAAACUAUUUGGAUGUAAGAACCUAGGGUUCUACAUCACCAAAUCAGCCCCAGGCCCAGAAUGAAGCUUUUGAGUUCGAGCAAAGCUUGAAAAGUAAAGCAAUCAAUUUUGUUAACAUUAAAUCAGAAAAUGCCUAGCAAAAAUAUGAUUACAACUUAUUUUGAUAGUUUUGUCUUUUCAUAACUUUAACAAAAAAUCCCAUAACGAAUUUAAUCUAUACUUAUAGCUUAUUGAUAAUCAUACAAAAUCUUAUAGCUCAUUGAUAAUCAUGCAAUAUGCAGGACAUAAAACUCAGAAAGUACACAAGUAUCCAGUGUUCCCAGGUGCACAGUUAUAGCCUGUCACCAUUAGAAUGCCAACACAAAUGCUUGAAAACAUAGUUUUAAUACAUUUUCUUCUUUAAUGUGUGUAAUAAUAUUCAAUUAAUCAAAGUUUUGUGUAAUAAUUGCAGUACUAUUAUUGAUGACCUCAGAAUAUACACAAAAUACAAUAAAUGCUUUUAGAUGUAUCAUAAUAAUUAUGCCCAGAGACAACAGCUUUCGCUCCAUUUGGAAAAUCAAUUCCUUUGAAAGCAUAGCGAACUUUAAUAAUUAAAAUUCAACUUACCACUAAUCGUCGAUUGAUUUGUUAUUAAUUAGUCUUAGGCUGAAAAGGUUGCAAGAUCCUCCGUUUAGCAACUUUACAUCAGAUAUAACUAAGGAAAUAAACCAUAGACUUGAAAACCUCCAUCUAUUCAUAUUUGUUUAUCAUUCUUUUUCCCUUUUUCCCUUUCUCCCUUUGUAUAGGAAAAAAGAAGGCAUUCUUCAUUAAUAGGACAGAAACUAGUCUACUACUGCCAUGCAGUGCCAACUCACAAUUUCUAAAAGUUUGAUUGAUAGAUAUUAUUCACAAAAUAAUAAAUU